ACACCGUGUUAUCUGCCCCUGCUAACCAUCUACUGAUAAAUCUCAACAUAUGACUGACCAUUAGUAUACCAACACAGCAGAGCACAACGUCAAAGUAUAUCAGUUCAAGUUGAUAGCUGACCGAUUCUCAAACCAUCAACACAUCCUUGAUCAGGGUUGAUCUCUGUUGGGGCUUUUAGGAAACUAAGCUUUAUCACAAAAACUCUGAGAAGCAUUGCUCUUAAAAUGUAAACUAUGUCACCACAGUUUAAAUUGACACCACACACUAUUGUCGCACUCGUGUAACAUAUGUUUUCAUCAUUAUUAUUUCUUCAGUACUCAAUUUCCAGUUUUGUAAUUUCAUGCUCCAUUGUUUAGCUUAAGAAUUUCCAGGAAUUACGGAGUUGUCCAUCCCAGCACAACACAGGGAGGUGAACUGUAAGUGAGUGCAUGGUAUGUUCUGCCAGAUUUAGGACGAAGUGUGCUCACAGGUUACACUCACGUAUCUUGCUUUUUUCAGUUUGGACCAGACCCAUCGUUCUGUUGCUGAAAAGUCUUCCUCUAAGAGUGAUACGAAUUCUUUUAGCUUGAAGCUUUUGUAGUGACUGAUACAUUAAGUUCUCUGGUCUUAGAUACAAUCAGGUCAUGGACAGAGACGCGGGAAACAGCCAAUCAGACUCAGCAGUAACACCUAGUUCCAGGCUUCUUUCAGCAUUGUUGUCCACAGCUGCGUCUGAAGUAUCAGACUAUAUCUCACAAGAGACAAAAUUAGACAAUUGGAACAGGUCUAACAAUGUCCAAACCGAUGACUACAUCGAGGCCUUCACGCUCACCAACACUCCGCUGACCGUUCAGCGCAAUGGACUCGUGACUGUCUCCCGCGAGGAGUGGGAGAAAAAUCAUCAAAACUUCUUUUACAGCUUAGGGUCAAGCCACACCUCUGAACUGGCCUGGGUCAUCCCUAUGGCCAUAGGGGCUAUCUUUGUCUUUAUUGUACUGGCUUUGCUCUUCUUUUACGGUGUCCGAACCCUGGAGCUGAAGAUAGGUAAAUGGUGUUAUCGUCAUUGUGGUUGCUGUGCCCCUGGAGAAACUAAACAGCUUGGAGAAGAACUGCAAUAUCUUACUGCCAGCAGGCAGAACUGAACAUUGGCAGGUUAUCCACCAAAGAUUUGGCAAAGAUGUGAUACAAAAUGAAAUGCACAACUCAAAUAUAUAAGUAAUCCUCCAAAACAUUUAUCAAAAGUGCCUCAAUAUGAAGUUCAGAACUGACAAUAUAUAAAAAAUAUUUCCAAAAUUUUCGCCAACAAUUGACUCAAAGUGCACAACUGAAAAUAUAUAAUUAAAACUGUAAAAACGUCUUCCAUAAAGUGCUUCGAAAUUAAGUGCUGACAUAAAGAUUAAUAAGUAAUCUUCCAAAACUUGUGCCAAGUAGUGCGCACUCUGUACAUAGUGUCACUGUAUGCCUUCAUAUGUCUUUCAGCUGUUGGGUUUUAUUUGCAGUAUGAUUAUUAUUCAUAAAACUUCCGGGUCACAGACUAAAAUAUUCAGCUUUUUCACUACUUACUUUGACGUAAUGAUUGUGAUUCCCAAUGGACCAUAGGGUCGCAACAGAGCUACACCAUCAGACUCUGUUCUGGGCGAUUCCCCUCAGUUGAGUCCAUGUCCAUUCUGCUUUCUUUGCUCCUUGGUCUACUUAUAUUCUCCGUGCUUGCUUUGGUCUCCCAGAUUUUCUCUUACCUUGUGAGUUCCAGUCUAGCGUCUGUCUUGCAAUACUGUCCUGCAAUUCUUCACAUCGUGUGACCAAUCCAUCCCGAUUGACGUCGUUUAAUAUCUUGCUCUAUUUCUGUCUGCUGAGUUGUUUUGCACAGACUGUAGUUUGAGAUUUUGUUCUACCAUCUACAAUACACUAAUUGACGCAAGCAUUUGCUGGUGAAUGUCGGUUUUGUAAGUUGUUACUGCUCCAAGUAUCUGCUCCCAAUACAAGAACUGCUUUCACAUAUACAACAUAAAAACAUGACUACAAUAUGCACUGGUUAACAACACCUUGACAACCGUAUUAUCAAUAUAAUGGCAAUUUAGAAUUAAUAUAUUGAAAAGAAAAUUUUACUUUGAAGUCCAAAUGAGAUUCUUGCUACACUAUCUGUAAUACAUAUUUUCUUGACCAGAUAUUCCAGCAACUCUCUCACAAGUAGCGAAUCAAAUUUAGUUUUCAAUAUCAUUAAACAGUCUGUCAUUCUAAGUCUACAUAAGCUGAAUUUUAUCUGAUUUUUAAUAACUAUAUACAUACUUUAUUUCUUUCAGCUUAGCAAAUCACACACUAUAGAACACAAUAGACACACUAUUUUGGACAGUACAGCUACACCAACAUAUCUGUGUAUGUUCUUUGUGGUUCAAGUCUCUAUUUUUAUGUUUGUAUUUUUGAAAGAUGAUGUCAUUUGUUCUAAAGCUGUGUCGUGACACGGACCUAUAUCAAUGCAAUGUCUACCAUGGACAACCUUUGUUCUAUUCUAAAUAAGCAAUGUAGACGUCAAGGGAUCGCCGGCGGAUGUCGCUAAGCAAUAAAUAACAUUAACAAUAUGAAA
rnacentral:sRNA from 1 species